ensembl:snoRNA
CUGUAAGCCCUCAGCAUGCUUGGGUCUGCGGUGCUCUUGUGCAUGCUUGAAAGAACAUUUUGAAAUGGUCUGAGGCCUUUCCCUGUUCCACUCAGAGCAAGGUUACAGAAAUUUCAAACAGUU